GUCUCCGUUGGUGAACCAGCGGAGGGAUCAUUACCGAGUUUACAACUCCCAAACCCAAUGUGAACGUUACCAAACUGUUGCCUCGGCGGGGUCACGCCCCGGGUGCGUCGCAGCCCCGGAACCAGGCGCCCGCCGGAGGAACCAACCAAACUCUUUCUGUAGUCCCCUCGCGGACGUUAUUUCUUACAGCUCUGAGCAAAAAUUCAAAAUGAAUCAAAACUUUCAACAACGGAUCUCUUGGUUCUG
rnacentral:misc_RNA from 1 species